rnacentral:rRNA from 1 species
AUUUGUCUGGUUAGUUCCGAUAACGAACGAGACCUUAACCUGCUAACUAGUUUCAAUUACUUUGUAAUUGAUAACUUCUUAGAGGGACUAUGUGAAAUAACUACAUGGAAGUUUGAGGCAAUAACAGGUCUGUGAUGCCCUUAUAUGUCCUGGGCUGCACGCGUGCUACACUGAUGCAUACAACAAGUGCCUAGCCAGUCAUGGUAUGGCAAUCUCGAAUAUGCAUCGUGAUGGGGAUAGAUCUUUGCAAUUAUAGAUCUUGAACGAGGAAUUCCUAGUAAGUGCAAGUCAUCAUCUUGCAUUGAUUAUGUCCCUGCCCUUUGUACACACCGCCCGUCGCUCCUACCGAUACCGGGUGAUCCGGUGAACCUUUUGGACCUUUACAGGAAAGAUAAGUAAACCAUAUCACCUAGAGGAAGGAGAAGUCGUAACAAGGUUUCCGUAGGUGAACCUGCRGAAGGAUCA